GACGAACGCUGGCGGCAUGCUUAACACAUGCAAGUCGAACGAAGUGGCGAACGGGUGAGUAACGCGUAAUAAACAUGCCCUUCAGAGGGGGAAACCAGUUGGAAACGACUGCUAAAACCGCAUACGGAUGGCGGGGAAUGCGUCGGAUUUGCUAGCUGGGGGGGUAACGGCCCACCAAGGUGAUGAUCAGUAGGCGGUUUGAUGGGAUGAACCGCCACAUUGGGAAUGGGACACGGCCCAAGCCCCUACGGGAGGGAGGAAGGGGGAAUCUUCCGAAAAGGAGGGAAGGCUGACUGAGCAACUCCGCGUGGGUGAUGACGGCCUUUGGGUUGGAAAGCUCUGUUAAGCGGGACGCGGUACCGGAAUAGAAAGCCACGGCUAACUACGUGCCAGCCGCCGCGGUAAUUC
rnacentral:rRNA from 1 species